rnacentral:rRNA from 1 species
GUAGGGAAUAUUGGGCAAUGGAUGCAAGUCUGACCCAGCCAUCCCGCGUGCCGGAAGAAGGCCCUCAGGGUUGUAAACGGCUUUUGACGGCGAAGAAUCGACAGGAUGCGUCCUGUUUUGACGGUAGCCGUUGAAUAAGCACCGGCUAACUCCGUGCCAGCAGCCGCGGUAAUACGGAGGGUGCGAGCGUUGUCCGGAUUUAUUGGGUUUAAAGGGUGCGUAGGCUGGAAGGUCAGUCAGCGGUGAAAAGCUGUCGCUUAACGAUAGUCUUGCCGCAGAUACUUCCUUUCUUGGAUGAGGAGGAGGCCACUGGAACGGAUGGUGUAGCGGUGAAAUGCAUAGAUAUCAUCCAGAACACCGAUUGCGAAGGCAGGUGGCUGUACCUUAAUCGACGCUGAUGCACGAAAGCAUGGGGAGCAAACAGGAUUAGAAACCCGUGUAGUCC